rnacentral:rRNA from 1 species
UAGGGAAUCUUCGGCAAUGGGGGGAACCCUGACCGAGCAACGCCGCGUGAGUGAAGAAGGUUUUCGGAUCGUAAAACUCUGUUGUUAGAGAAGAACAGCGCAUAGAGUAACUGUUAUGCGUGUGACGGUAUCUAACCAGAAAGCCACGGCUAACUACGUGCCAGCAGCCGCGGUAAUACGUAGGUGGCAAGCGUUGUCCGGAUUUAUUGGGCGUAAAGCGAGCGCAGGCGGUCAAUUAAGCCUGAUGUGAAAGCCCCCGGCUCAACCGGGGAGGGUCAUUGGAAACUGGUUGACUUGAGUGCAGAAGAGGAGAGUGGAAUUCCAUGUGUAGCGGUGAAAUGCGCAGAGAUAUGGAGGAACACCAGUGGCGAAGGCGACUUUCUGGUCUGUAACUGACGCUGAUGUGCGAAAGCGUGGGGAUCAAACAGG